rnacentral:rRNA from 1 species
UGGGGAAUCUUCCGCAAUGGGCGCAAGCCUGACGGAGCAAUGCCGCGUGAGUGAAGAAGGCCUUCGGGUUGUAAAACUCUGUCCUCAUCCAAGAGAAGGAAAGGUAGUAACUGGCCUUUCCAGGACGGUAGAUGAGGAGGAAGCCCCGGCUAACUAUGUGCCAGCAGCCGCGGUAAAACAUAGGGGGCAAGCGUUGUCCGGAAUCACUGGGCGUAAAGGGCGCGCAGGCGGUCUGUUAAGUCAGAUGUGAAAGGUUAGGGCUCAACCCUGAACGUGCAUCUGAUACUGGCAGACUUGAGUAUGGAAGAGGUAAGUGGAAUUCCUAGUGUAGCGGUGAAAUGCUUAGAUAUCAUGAAGAACUCCGAUUGCGAAGGCAGCUUACGGGAGUGUUACUGACGCUUAAGCUCGAAGGUGCGGGUAUCGAACAGG